GCUUCCUGUCGUGGGGUGGUCCUUUGGGCCUGAGAUUAUACCCGUUGAACCUGAUCUGGGUAAUGCCAGCGCAGGGAGCCUGAUGUGUCUCAUC
rfam:Treponema caldarium DSM 7334, complete genome.